AUUGAACGCUGGCGGCAGGCCUAACACAUGCAAGUCGAGCGGAUGACGGGAGCUUGCUCCUUGAUUCAGCGGCGGACGGGUGAGUAAUGCCUAGGAAUCUGCCUGGUAGUGGGGGACAACGUUUCGAAAGGAACGCUAAUACCGCAUACGUCCUACGGGAGAAAGCAGGGGACCUUCGGGCCUUGCGCUAUCAGAUGAGCCUAGGUCGGAUUAGCUAGUAGGUGAGGUAAUGGCUCACCUAGGCGACGAUCCGUAACUGGUCUGAGAGGAUGAUCAGGAACAAGGGAAGUGAGAAACGGCCAGGACUCCUAGGGGGGGCAGAGGGGGGGAAUAUUGGAAAAGGGGCAAAAGCCUGUUCCGGCCAUGCGGGGUGUGUAAAGAAGGUUUUCGGUUUGUAAAGCAUUUUAAGUUGGGAGGAAGGGUUGUACGUUAAUACCGUGCAUUUUUGCCGUUACCGACAGAAAAAGCACCGGCUAACUCUGGGCCAGCCGCCGCCGUAA
rnacentral:rRNA from 1 species